GGAGUGUAUCCUAUAGAAAUAUGCAAAUGGAAACCAACUCUCCGACAUUCAAGGCACUAAAGACUCCCACAAAAAUAAGCAAAGAAAAACCUCUCCAUAAUCCACAUAUUCACUGUGCAAAUGUGUGUUUCCAGUUGCAGUAAUUGGCAGGGUAGCUUUUCAUGUUAUGUGCAGGGCAGUUAGUGUCUCUGUAAGUGAUAUUCUUGUCUCUAGGCCAGAUCAGGAUCACAAAUAACAUUUUGGAAUUGAUCCUGGUACGUUGUAUUUGAUAUUUAGGUAAAGCUUGCCUGAGAAAAGGCAUUUUUAUCUUCAAUUCUUAUUACUCUACAGACAUAAAUGAUCAGCUGGUAGCAGGGAUGCCUCUGGUCUUUAACAAUAUUUGGGCUUGUGUCCAACAAUGACAUGAAUGCACAAGCUACAGGGUUUGGGUAUAUGCAAUCCUGACUCAAGCAGCUUUCAGAAGGAAGCAAGAAAAGGCAGAGGCACAGCCACUGUGAAUGUUCCUUCUGCAAAAGCGGAAAAACACCACGACAGAAGGAAAUGAUGAGGUGGGAUGGGUAGGCUGCAAAGUGAUGGAAACUCAUUGGACGUGGCUGCUAUUGGGUUUCUUUUUUAAUUCUUCUCUUUCCCUUUCCUUCUUUAGCUGAAAAUGAAGACAUUCUUGGGGUUGGAUGUCUAGACAGAACAGAUUUCAGUUCUCAGCUUGACCAAGUUCUGCACAGUUAUGGCAACAUGAGAAAGAUUGAGUUACGAGCAAGAACGGAUGAAAUCCAGGGCGUUGCCUGCAAGCCAGAAUUUCCUGUACAAACACUAUUGACCAUAUUUUUGGAGAAGCGUGUAAAAACUGUUGAUGUCCACAGUAAUUAUAGUGUGUCAGAAAAAUUAACAUUUGCAAUUCCCCAUAUCCUGAGUGAGAAAGCAGCAGUAAUCAUAUGGACUGAAGUACAGUUAAAAUAAACACAGGCCAUCCAAGAGGAAACUGUUCCUUCUGCUAAGUUUGAGUUUUCU
rnacentral:lncRNA from 1 species